AGCGAACGCUGGCGGUAGGCCUAAUACAUGCAAGUAGAACGGCAGCACAGUAAGAGCCUGCUCUUACGGGUGGCGAGUGGCGGACGGGAGAGGUAUACAACGGAAUCUACUUUUUCGUGGGGGAAAACGAAGGGAAACUUACGCUAACACCGCAUAAGACCUACGGGUGAAAGUAGGGGAUAUUUGGACUUUGCGCGAUUGAAUGAGCCGAUGUCGGAUUUGAUAGUUGGCGGGGUAAAGGCCCACCAAGGCGACGAUCCGUAGCUGGUCUGAGAGGAUGAUCGGCAACACUGGAACUGAGACACGGCCCAGACUCCUACGGGAGGCGGCGGUGGGGAAUAUUGGACAUUGGGCGCAAUCCUGCUGCAGCCAUACCGCGUGGGUGAGGAAGGCCUUCGGGUUUUAAAGUCUUUUUGUUGGGAAAGAAAAGCAGCAGGUUAAAACGCCGCUGUUCUGACGGUACCCUACGAAUAAGCAACGGCUAACUUCGUG
rnacentral:rRNA from 1 species